AUCAUUACCGAGAGGGGGACGUGCGGUUGCUUUGCGGCCCACGGCCCGGGGGUCCCUCCCCAACUCUUCAACCCUAUGUGUACCAACCUUUGUUGCUUCGGCGAGCGCCGGGGGGCUCCAUGCCCGUCGGCCCCGGCUUCGGUCGGUGCGUUCUCGCCGAAGACCCAAUUCCAAUCCGUUUGCAGCCCCGUCCGAGCGCACCGAUAAAUCUAAUUAAAACUUUCAACAACGGAUCUCUUGGUUCUGGCAUCGAUGAAGAACGCAGCGAAAUGCGAUAAGUAAUGUGAAUUGCAGAAUUCCGUGAGUCAUCGAAUCUUUGAACGCACAUUGCGCCCUCUGGUAUUCCGGAGGGCAUGCCUGUCCGAGCGUCAUUAUCAACCCUCAAGCUCGGCUUGCUGUUGGGUCUCGCCGUGGCAAGCACGGUGGAUCUCAAAGAUAAUGAUAGAGUCUGAAGGACCCUGAAUGCAGCGAGCUUUUAGCACGCGUCCGGAUGGUGUUUCGGGCUCGGUCUUAACCAACAAGAUUUCUGGUUGACCUCGGAUCAGGUAGGGAUACCCGCUGAACUUAAGCAUAUCAAUAAGCGGAGGA
rnacentral:rRNA from 1 species